AGAGUUUGAUCCUGGCUCAGGAUGAACGCUGGCGGCGUGCCUAAUACAUGCAAGGCGAGCGAACGGACGAGAAGCUUGAUUCUCUGAUGUGAGCGGCGGACGGGUGAGUAACACGUGGAUAACCUACCUAUAAGACUGGGAUAACUUCGGGAAACCGGAGCUAAUACCGGAUAAUAUUUUGAACCGCAUGGUUCAAAAGUGAAAGACGGUCUUGCUGUCACUUAUAGAUGGAUCCGCGCUGCAUUAGCUAGUUGGUAAGGUAACGGCUUACCAAGGCAACGAUGCAUAGCCGACCUGAGAGGGUGAUCGGCCACACUGGAACUGAGACACGGUCCAGACUCCUACGGGAGGCAGCAGUAGGGAAUCUUCCGCAAUGGGCGAAAGCCUGACGGAGCAACGCCGCGUGAGUGAUGAAGGUCUUCGGAUCGUAAAACUCUGUUAUUAGGGAAGAACAUAUGUGUAAGUAACUGUGCACAUCUUGACGGUACCUAAUCAGAAAGCCACGGCUAACUACGUGCCAGCAGCCGCGGUAAUACGUAGGUGGCAAGCGUUAUCCGGAAUUAUUGGGCGUAAAGCGCGCGUAGGCGGUUUUUUAAGUCUGAUGUGAAAGCCCACGGCUCAACCGUGGAGGGUCAUUGGAAACUGGAAAACUUGAGUGCAGAAGAGGAAAGUGGAAUUCCAUGUGUAGCGGUGAAAUGCGCAGAGAUAUGGAGGAACACCAGUGGCGAAGGCGACUUUCUGGUCUGUAACUGACGCUGAUGUGCGAAAGCGUGGGGAUCAAACAGGAUUAGAUACCCUGGUAGUCCACGCCGUAAACGAUGAGUGCUAAGUGUUAGGGGGUUUCCGCCCCUUAGUGCUGCAGCUAACGCAUUAAGCACUCCGCCUGGGGAGUACGACCGCAAGGUUGAAACUCAAAGGAAUUGACGGGGACCCGCACAAGCGGUGGAGCAUGUGGUUUAAUUCGAAGCAACGCGAAGAACCUUACCAAAUCUUGACAUCCUUUGACAACUCUAGAGAUAGAGCUUUCCCCUUCGGGGGACAAAGUGACAGGUGGUGCAUGGUUGUCGUCAGCUCGUGUCGUGAGAUGUUGGGUUAAGUCCCGCAACGAGCGCAACCCUUAAGCUUAGUUGCCAUCAUUAAGUUGGGCACUCUAAGUUGACUGCCGGUGACAAACCGGAGGAAGGUGGGGAUGACGUCAAAUCAUCAUGCCCCUUAUGAUUUGGGCUACACACGUGCUACAAUGGACAAUACAAAGGGCAGCGAAACCGCGAGGUCAAGCAAAUCCCAUAAAGUUGUUCUCAGUUCGGAUUGUAGUCUGCAACUCGACUACAUGAAGCUGGAAUCGCUAGUAAUCGUAGAUCAGCAUGCUACGGUGAAUACGUUCCCGGGUCUUGUACACACCGCCCGUCACACCACGAGAGUUUGUAACACCCGAAGCCGGUGGAGUAACCUUUUAGGAGCUAGCCGUCGAAGGUGGGACAAAUGAUUGGGGUGAAGUCGUAACAAGGUAGCCGUAUCGGAAGGUGCGGCUG
rnacentral:rRNA from 1 species